CGCAAGUAGAGUGGCGAACGGGUGAGUAAUGCAUCGGAACAUAUCCAGUAGCGGGGGAUAACCUGUCGAAAGAUAGGCUAAUACCGCAUACGACCUACGGGUGAAAGCGGAGGACCGCAAGGCUUCGCACUAUUGGAGUGGCCGAUGUCGGAUUAGCUAGUUGGUGAGGUAAAAGCUCACCAAGGCGACGAUCCGUAGCUGGUCUGAGAGGACGACCAGCCACACUGGAACUGAGACACGGUCCAGACUCC
rnacentral:rRNA from 1 species